AUACGUAGGUGACAAGCGUUAUCCGGAUUUACUGGGCGUAAAGGGCGUGUAGGCGGUCUUGCAAGUCAGAAGUGAAAUUCCUGAGCUCAACUCGGGCGCUGCUUCUGAAACUGCAGGACUUGAGUGCUGGAGGGGAUAGCGGAAUUCCUAGUGGAGCGGUAAAAUGCGCAGAUAUUAGGAAGAACACCGGUGGCGAAGGCGGCUAUCUGGACAGUAACUGACGCUGAGGCGCGAAAGCGUGGGGAGCAAACAGGAUUAGUUCCCCUGGUAGUCCACGCCGUAAACGAUGAAUACUAGGUGUAGGGGGUAUCGACUCCCUCUGUGCCGCAGUUAACACAAUAAGUAUUCCACCUGGGGAGUACGACCGCAAGGUUGAAACUCAAAUGAAUUGACGGGG
rnacentral:rRNA from 1 species